rnacentral:tRNA from 1 species
UGGGUUGUGGCUCAGCGGUAGAGUGCUUUCCUCACAUGUGUGGCACCCUGGGUUCGAUCCUCAGCACCACAU